rnacentral:rRNA from 1 species
AGAGUUUGAUCCUGGCUCAGAAUGAACGCUGGCGGCGUGCCUAACACAUGCAAGUCGUACGAGAAAGGGGCUUCGGCCCUGAGUAGAGUGGCGCACGGGUGAGUAACGCGUGGGUAAUCUACCCUUGGAUUUGGGAUAACUCUGCGAAAGUGGAGCUAAUACCGGAUAGUCUGGUUUUAAAUAAGAAGUCGGUAAAGGAUGCCUCUGCAUAUGCAUUCGUCCGAGGAUGAGCCCGCGUCUCAUUAGCUAGUUGGUAGGGUAAUGGCCUACCAAGGCAACGAUGAGUAGCUGGUCUGAGAGGAUGAUCAGCCACACUGGAACCGAAACACGGUCCAGACUCCUACGGGAGGCAGCAGUGGGGAAUAUUGCGCAAUGGGCGAAAGCCUGACGCAGCAACGCCGUGUGAGGGAUGAAGGCUUUCGGGUCGUAAACCUCUGUCAGAAGGGAAGAACGAGCAUUGGUCUAAUAGGCCUUUGUUUUGACGGUACCUUCAGAGGAAGCACCGGCUAACUUCGUGCCAGCAGCCGCGGUAA